rnacentral:siRNA from 1 species
AGUGCAUUCAGGUCAUAUGGUACA